CAUCCAUACAAAUUUGUUUACAUGUAGUCUGUAGCUGACUUUGACAAACAACAGUGUUAAGUAAUUGCAGCAGAGACCAUAUGGCCCACAAAACCUAAAACCUAGCCCUUUACAGAAAAAAAAAGCAUGCAGAUCCUUGCUUUAUACUGUGCUUCCUAAACUGGAGCAUCCCUAGAGGAAUAAAGUAGUUGGUAGGGAACACAAAAAGUCAUAGGAUGGACGUUGUAUAUAUUUUGACAGCAUCAUUUCUAGUUUUUGUCAGGCAUCUAACAAGAAAUUACAUUUUCCAUCCUCUUUUGCAGCUAUUGCAACCAUGGAAUUAAGUGUUACUAAUGAAUUUUGAGUGGAAAUGAUCAUUCAUCUCCUCUUGUCUUCACUGAAACCCAGAUUUGAGCUGAGUCAGCUUUGAGCAGACAAGAAUGCUAAUGCUUUAUGAGUUUCAACCAGGAUACACAAGGAAACCAAAAAGCUGUUCCC